GGUAAAAUGGCUGAAUUAGGCGAUAAAUUGUAAAUUUAUUAAUGGAAAUUCCUUUUACUA
rnacentral:tRNA from 1 species